AUCGCUUCUCGGCCUUUUGGCUAAGAUCAAGUGUAGAAUUUGAGAGCUUCCAGAGCAAUAUUUUGCUUUAAGAAGCCCUU
rnacentral:snRNA from 1 species